UUCGAUUCUGGCUCAGGAUGAACGUGGCGGCGUGCCUAAUACAUGCAAGCCGAACGAGGGUAGUAAUACCCUAGUGGCGAACGGGUGAGUAACACGUAGGUAACCUGCCUUUAGCUUGGGAUACCCGAAGGAAAUUUUGGCUAAUACCGGAUAAUAACAACCGAGGCAUCUCGGAUGUUUGAAAGGAGCUCUAAAGCUUCACUAAAAGAUGGACCUGCGGCGCAUUAGCUAGUUGGUGAGAUAACAGCCCACCAAGGCGAGGAUGCGUAGCCGAACUGAGAGGUUGAACGGCCACAUUGGAACUGAGACACGGUCCAAACUCCUACGGGAGGCAGCAGUAAGGAGUUUUCGGCAAUGGGGGAAACCCUGACCGAGCAACGCCGCGUGAGUGAUGACGGCCCUAUGGGUUGUAAAGCUCUGUUAUAAGGGACGAACAGCUUUGCUAGGAAAUGAGCAGAGUCUGACGGUACUUUAUCAGAAAGCCACGGCUAACUACGUGCCAGCCGCCGC
rnacentral:rRNA from 1 species